GACGAACGCUGGCGGCGUGCUUAACACAUGCAAGUCGAACGGAAAGGCCCUGCUUUUGUGGGGUGCUCGAGUGGCGAACGGGUGAGUAACACGUGAGUAACCUGCCCUGGACUUGGGGAUAACCUCAGGAAACUGGGGCUAAUACCGGAUAGGAGCUCCAGCUGAAGGGGGGGGGUUGGAAAGUUUCGGAGGGUGGGGAUGGACUCGCGGCUUAUUAGCUUGUUGGGGGGGUAGUGGCUUAGCAAGGGUUUGACGGGUAGCCGGCCUGAGAGGGCGACCGGCCACAUUGGGACUGAGGUACGGCCCAGACUCCUACGGGAGGCAGCAGUGGGGAAUAUUGCACAAUGGGCGGAAGCCUGAUGCAGCAACGCCGCGUGCGGGAUGCCGGCCUUCGGGUUGUAAACCGCUUUCGCCUGUGACGAAGCGUGUUUGACGGUAAUGUGUAAAGAAGCACCGGCUAACUACGUG
rnacentral:rRNA from 1 species